rnacentral:rRNA from 1 species
CGAAUGCUGACAUAAGUAACGAUAAAGCGGGUGAAAAGCCCGCUCGCCGGAAGACCAAGGGUUCCUGUCCAACGUUAAUCGGGGCAGGGUGAGUCGACCCCUAAGGCGAGGCCGAAAGGCGUAGUCGAUGGGAAACAGGUUAAUAUUCCUGUACUUGGUGUUACUGCGAAGGGGGGACGGAGAAGGCUAUGUUGGCCGGGCGACGGUUGUCCCGGUUUAAGCGUGUAGGCUGGUUUUCCAGGCAAAUCCGGAAAAUCAAGGCUGAGGCGUGAUGACGAGGCACUACGGUGCUGAAGCAACAAAUGCCCUGCUUCCAGGAAAAGCCUCUAAGCAUCAGGUAACAUCAAAUCGUACCCCAAACCGACACAGGUGGUCAGGUAGAGAAUACCAAGGCGCUUGAGAGAACUCGGGUGAAGGAACUAGGCAAAAUGGUGCCGUAACUUCGGGAGAAGGCACGCUGAUAUGUAGGUGAAGUCCCUCGCGGAUGGAGCUGAAAUCAGUCGAAGAUACCAGCUGGCUGCAACUGUUUAUUAAAAACACAGCACUGUGCAAACACGAAAGUGGACGUAUACGGUGUGACGCCUGCCCGGUGCCGGAAGGUUAAUUGAUGGGGUCAGCGCAAGCGAAGCUCUUGAUCGAAGCCCCGGUAAACGGCGGCCGUAACUAUAACGGUCCUAAGGUAGCGAAAUUCCUUGUCGGGUAAGUUCCGACCUGCACGAAUGGCGUAAUGAUGGCCAGGCUGUCUCCACCCGAGACUCAGUGAAAUUGAACUCGCUGUGAAGAUGCAGUGUACCCGCGGCAAGACGGAAAGACCCCGUGAACCUUUACUAUAGCUUGACACUGAACAUUGAGCCUUGAUGUGUAGGAUAGGUGGGAGGCUUAGAAGUGUGGACGCCAGUCUGCAUGGAGCCGACCUUGAAAUACCACCCUUUAAUGUUUGAUGUUCUAACGUGGACCCGUGAUCCGGGUUGCGGACAGUGUCUGGUGGGUAGUUUGACUGGGGCGGUCUCCUCCUAAAGAGUAACGGAGGAGCACGAAGGUUGGCUAAUCCUGGUCGGACAUCAGGAGGUUAGUGCAAUGGCAUAAGCCAGCUUGACUGCGAGCGUGACGGCGCGAGCAGGUGCGAAAGCAGGUCAUAGUGAUCCGGUGGUUCUGAAUGGAAGGGCCAUCGCUCAACGGAUAAAAGGUACUCCGGGGAUAACAGGCUGAUACCGCCCAAGAGUUCAUAUCGACGGCGGUGUUUGGCACCUCGAUGUCGGCUCAUCACAUCCUGGGGCUGAAGUAGGUCCCAAGGGUAUGGCUGUUCGCCAUUUAAAGUGGUACGCGAGCUGGGUUUAGAACGUCGUGAGACAGUUCGGUCCCUAUCUGCCGUGGGCGCUGGAGAACUGAGGGGGGCUGCUCCUAGUACGAGAGGACCGGAGUG